GAUAUAAAUAUGAACAGACUGGUUCCCGUACGAUCAGCGAAGUUAAGCAACGUCAAACCUGGUCAGUACCUAGAUGGGUGACCGCUUGGGAAUACUGUGUGC